rnacentral:rRNA from 1 species
UGGGUAACCUGCCCAAGAGACUGGGAUAACACCUGGAAACAGAUGCUAAUACCGGAUAACAACACUAGACGCAUGUCUAGAGUUUAAAAGAUGGUUCUGCUAUCACUCUUGGAUGGACCUGCGGUGCAUUAGCUAGUUGGUAAGGUAACGGCUUACCAAGGCAAUGAUGCAUAGCCGAGUUGGGAGACUGAUCGGCCACAUUGGGACUGAGACACGGCCCAAACUCCUACGGAAGGCAGCAG